rnacentral:lncRNA from 1 species
GCCCCUGGGAGGGAGCCAGGGUUCAGGGUUUCCAGGCACAGGCUGAACUCUGGUUCUGAGAGGAAAGGCACUCCAGGGUUUUGGAGUGGGCCACCUGAACUUGACCCUCAGGGCAGAUAUCCUAGAGUUCCAAGGAAGGCCCAGGCUGGGCCAAGAAGCCACCUCCAGAAUGCUGUUGUGGAAGUGGGAGAAGCUGAGAAGGUGAAGCCGCUAAUGAUGUAACUUGCAGAUCCCUGCUGGAUCAACUCAUUUCUCUGUGCAGAAGAUCAGCCACUGUUCAAGGAAUAUAGAGCCCCACUCAGGGCCAAGGAGAGGCUCCAGAAAAAUCACAAACACAAGAAUGUGUGUGAGGUACUGGAUAAAGCUGAGCAUGCUGUCCCAGGCAUGGGGCCUUCUCACCGGUUCUCUGAAGCCACCCCCUCCUUUAUGCCUUGAGGCUGCUUGCUGAUGCCAGGAGUAAAAGAAAUGACUCCUGCCCCUCUGUCUGUGUCUCUCUGUCUCUCUGUCUGUGUCCACCCUCCCCCCCCACCCCCCAAAUCUGUCUUCUCCUGGCAGCUGCAGAGAUUUAUAAUUUACCUGCCUUGUUGUUUCUCUCUUACACUCUAAUAAAACUCAAGCUUCCGUUUGA